rnacentral:lncRNA from 10 species
AGCUGCUCUAGAAUGUAGCAAUGGUGGGCUCCUUUGGGGGCCAUCUAGAAGCACCCUGCCCCUGGGCACCUGCCUCCUCACUGGAGGAGACCAGAGGCCACGUCCCAGCCCUGUGCUUCCAGCUCUGGAACUGCCCUUGACUUCACUGGACAGGCCUGAGCAAGUCGUGUAACCUUCAGGGACUCAGCUAUGCCCACUCCAGGCUCUGUGAAACCAAGACAACCUCACGUGCUCAGUUCCUCAGCUCUGCAGGAGCCAGGCUGCUCUGGGUUGCAAGUGGAUGGCAAGCUUCCUUGUGACUUCUCAUCCUGGCAAUUUUCUGGAGUGUUUGUGACUGGACUUUAACAUUUCCAAAAUGUGGCGACAGUGACUGUUAAGUCUUCCCAAAGACGAGGGUUCCUGGGAGCCCCAGGGUAAGUGGCAGACUAAGGCUGCAAGCAUCAGGACAGCAGAGACCAAAUUCAUCAUUGAAUCCUCAACAUCUAGCACAAUAUGCCUGGCAUAAGGUGAAGAGAAGAAGAGUAUGAACUACCACGAAACUCAUUUCCCUCCGUCCUUCAAUCAAAUACAAUGACCUUCAGCUACUCUCACCAUUCUCUACUGAAAACAUCCCAACUAUCUGGAAAGAACUCACCUAAAGUUCCCCAACAUCAAAUAAACCACGUUCCAAAAGAUUCAGAGCCAGAGAGAAACAAAACGCCCUUUGUUGAUGAAGCAUUUACUCAUACAUACAUACAAGUGUGUAUAUAUAUAUACACAUAUAUAUGUGUGUGUGUGUGUGUGUGUGUGUGUGUGUGUGUGUGUG